rnacentral:rRNA from 1 species
GACGUAGGGCGCGAGCGUUGUCCGGAUUUAUUGGGCGUAAAGAGCUCGUAGGCGGCUUGUCGCGUCAACUGUGAAAACCCGUGGCUCAACCAUGUGGUCUGCAGUCGAUACGGGCAGGCUAGAAUUCGGUAGGGGAGACUGGAAUUCCUGGUGUAGCGGUGAAAUGCGCAGAUAUCAGGAGGAACACCCGUGGCGAAAGCGGCUCUCUGGGCAGUAACUGACGCUGAGGAGCGAAAGCGUGGGGAGCGAACAGG